ACGAACGCUGGCGGCGUGCUUAACACAUGCAAGUCGCACGGAAAGGCCCUGCUUUUGUGGGGUGCUCGAGUGGCGAACGGGUGAGUAACACGUGAGUAACCUGCCUUUGACUUUGGGAUAACUUCAGGAAACUGGGGCUAAUACCGGAUAGGAGCUCCUGCUGCAUGGUGGGGGUUGGAAAGUUUCGGCGGUUGGGGAUGGACUCGCGGCUUAUCAGCUUGUUGGUGGGGUAGUGGCUUACCAAGGCUUUGACGGGUAGCCGGUCUGAGAGGGUGACCGGCCACAUUGGGACUGAGAUACGGCCCAGACUCCUACGGGAGGCAGCAGUGGGGAAUAUUGCACAAUGGGCGGAAGCCUGAUGCAGCAACGCCGCGUGCGGGAUGACGGCCUUCGGGUUGUAAACCGCUUUCGCCUGUGACGAAGCGUGAGUGACGGUAAUGGGUAAAGAAGCACCGGCUAACUACGUG
rnacentral:rRNA from 1 species